rnacentral:rRNA from 1 species
CCUACGGGAGGCAGCAGUGGGGAAUCUUGCGCAAUGGGCGAAAGCCUGACGCAGCCAUGCCGCGUGAAUGAUGAAGGUCUUAGGAUUGUAAAAUUCUUUCACCGGGGACGAUAAUGACGGUACCCGGAGAAGAAGCCCCGGCUAACUUCGUGCCAGCAGCCGCGGUAAUACGAAGGGGGCUAGCGUUGCUCGGAAUUACUGGGCGUAAAGGGAGCGUAGGCGGAUAGUUUAGUCAGAGGUGAAAGCCCAGGGCUCAACCUUGGAAUUGCCUUUGAUACUGGCUAUCUUGAGUACGGAAGAGGUAUGUGGAACUCCGAGUGUAGAGGUGAAAUUCGUAGAUAUUCGGAAGAACACCAGUGGCGAAGGCGACAUACUGGUCCGUUACUGACGCUGAGGCUCGAAAGCGUGGGGAGCAAACAGGAUUAGAUACCCUGGUAGUCCACGCUGUAAACGAUGAGUGCUAGUUGUCGGCAUGCAUGCAUGUCGGUGACGCAGCUAACGCAUUAAGCACUCCGCCUGGGGAGUCGGUCGCAAGAUUAAAACUUAAGGAAUUGACGG